UCUUACUGAAGAGUCCUAAACUGUAGAAGUUGGUUGGGUAUUCAUAAACAGAAAAAUAUUUUUUUUUCUGGCUCCUUCCCCACAGCUGUGCCUGCUGAAGAGAGUCCAACCUUUCUGAGGAGAAAAGCACCCCAAGCUGGAAGUUGGCAUCUAAGCUCACCUUGCCUAAGUCCCAGGUGAGCUGUACUUACAAGCGUUUCAGGCAGCCUGAAUGUGGCCUUGUCUGCUUUUCUCUGCUGCCCAUGAUCCUGCCUUACACAGCAGAUGCUCUGAGGCACAUUAGCCCCGGGGUUCCCUAGGCAACUAGGAUUGGCGCUGUGGGAUUGGGCACCUCCCAAGCUGUGUACUGAUCUCUUGGGCACCUUUCCUGUCAUCUCACUCCUUUUCCCUUGAAUCUUCUCUUAACUUUUUUGGUAACUGGCCUCCCAUGUAAUUCAGAAAUGAGUGAUAGGACGGCUUCUGUUGUAGCGGAGUACUGAACUACAACUUACUCUCUUCUCUAGAGUCCAUUGACAUUUGAAGAUGUGGCCUUGUAUUUUCCGAGGAAGAAUGGAAAAUAAUGACCCCUGAUGAGAAGACCCUCUACCUUGAUGUAAUGCAGGAACUCUAUGAGGAUGUCGCCUCUGUAGGGUUAAAGCUGAAAAAUGACACUGGAAAUGACCCACCUGUAUCUCUUCCUACAUUAGAGAUACAACCAUCAGGAUGCAAAGUAUUAGGAAAGGCCACAAGGAAAGAUGCUGAGACAACAGUGGGCAGUGAAAAUCACGGUGAUACAUGCAGGGUACGGAAACGACCUCACAGUCCCGAAGCCACAGCUCUCGCCAGCCACUUCGUGCCUGGUGACGAACUGCACUGAAACUCUCAAAACGGGCCGUUUCCAUGAAACUCGAGGAAAUUAUCUGAGUGCAGCCAACCUGUUGUUUCACUUUAGCCAAAGGAGGGAGCAGAAGGAAGAAAUUCUUCAUUAGAAACAUGAAUGAUUGACCCUGACCGAAAAGCCCUUCACAAGACUUCCUCCUGGCAGGUCUCUGGGACUGCUCUCUGCCUGCUCCUGCUGUCUCUCUUGCUCCUCUCCACCCUCCAAAGCUUUGCAUCAGGGGACAGGGAAGAGUGGGAAAGACGUGUUCCUCCCAGCCCUGCCCCAUCUCAGCCACGCUCCCUCCACCUCCUACCAGUGCCCUCCUGCUGCCACAGAAUGUGCUGCUCCAGUCCUGGACAGCCUCAAGCAGCCCCUGUGUCCCAAAGGAUUUGGGAAAGUGGGGGUCUCCUUGAGUGGAGGGCAGCUGUCAGGCCGGGGUGGGAGAGCAGAUGGAGAAGAGGCUUGUAGGGUAGGCAACAACUGGGGAGACGGGGACAUCUCUGGGUGAAGAGGCAGCUCUCAAGUCCCCAUGUUUUUCUUGCAGGAACUGGUGUUAUAGAAGGUGAACUGCCCCUUUUGUGGUCAAAAGAAUCAAAUCCCUGCCUGGGCACCCCUGCCCCUAGAGUUGCCUGGGGAGCGCCCGAGAGAAGGGCCUGACCCCUCGAGGAGAGGCAGGGCCUUCCAGGUGGAGAGCCCGAGGGGAGGGGUGGCCUGGUGAUCCAGUACUGGCAUGGGGAAGGAAGGAUGGAGCUAGAGACACUCUGGUGGAGCAGGUUCUCCCCACCUGCUGGGCUCUGGGAAGGGAGAUAUUUGCCCUUGUCACAUAGAUCAGAAGUGGGGGAGCUGAACCUGCCUCUGGGUCUGCACUGCCUACCUGCCCCCCAGUCUCUGGGAGACCUGGCACAGUGGGAUGGGGGAGGGGAGCACAGACUCCCAAGAGAUCUAGAGAGAGAGAGAGAGGCCCGUGGCAGGGAAGGUGAGAGCAAGUCACAGGGAAGAACUGGGGGACAGUCUGAGCUGAUACGGUCACAGGAGAGAUGAAUCCCAGAACCCCCUU
rnacentral:lncRNA from 1 species